AAUAGUUUGACGAUUUUUUAAAAUAUCUUUUUGGUUUUUUUUCACGAAGUCACACAUCUCAUAUUUUAGCGCUUAAAAUGGAUAGGGAUUGCUUAGGUUGUAGGCUUAUCAGUGGUUCAGGUUUGAUUGGAGCAGCUGCAUAUAUUGCACACCAUUCCAAUAAAUCACAACAUAAGUGGAGCCGAAUUGUUAUGCAACUUGUCAGCAUUGGAUUUGCAUCAGUAGGUUCAGCAAGACUUCUGAAUAUAUACCCAUUUAACAUCACUCACAACAGCAAGCAUUGAGAAUCCAAAUAAGAGAACAGGGAUGGUUGAAAAGAUUCAUAAAUGUGUCAUAUUGGCCAGGAGAAAAUACACUCAAUA